rnacentral:misc_RNA from 1 species
UACGGAGGGUGCAAGCGUUAAUCGGAAUUACUGGGCGUAAAGGGCGCGUAGGCGGCUAGAAAAGUCGGAUGUGAAAUUCCGGGGCUCAACCCCGGAGCUGCAUUCGAAACUCUCUAGCUAGAGUACAGUUAGGGUAAACGGAAUUCCACGUGUAGCGGUGAAAUGCGUAGAUAUGUGGAAGAACACCGGUGGUGAAGACGGUUUACUGGGCUGAAACUGACGCUGAGGCGCGAAAGCAUGGGGAGCAAACAGG